GGCUUGGCAAAGAAGACUGGCUUUCUUAAGGGUUCAGAAAAAUGAGCUGAAAUCAUUACAGAGACUCCAUUCUUAGUGGUGAUUUAGCAAUUUAAUAAUAGAGUUCAUUCUGUAUAACUCCUGGCCAGUGGAUUCUGACUAACUGACAUUUUUUAUGUAUAAAGGGAAGUCAUAUUUUAUAAAUAUCCCUAGUAGUUUCUGUGACUGUCUCUCCUGCUUUGUAUAUCAACCAGGAACAAACUCUUUUCAAAUUGCUAAUGACAGCAAACUCCAAAGUGCCCUUGAGACCAACGCCCAACAGUUGUUUCCAUUCACCUUGCUGAAUGAAAGCCAGAGUGCUGUCCUCUCGUCUGGCGGUGAUUACGUCAGUAAUUCAUUCCGAUAAAAUGGUCCCUUUAUUAACUGAAUCCCCAAACAAAGGCUGUGGUUAACAAAAAGCCCCUUUCAUGAAAAGAAGGGGGAAAAGAAGAAACCCCUGGAAACAAGUUUUUAAAUGUCUUCUAACUUAUGACUGUGGCACAAAGUGACCCCAUCUGGUCCUGACCAGCUGUGGCUCUCCUAGGCAAGGGCACCAGGCUUUUAGGGUAAUGUUUGCUGGAGACAGGGAAAAAUGGAAGCAAGAGAAGAAGAGCAGGAAAGCACAAACCAGGCACCUCUCAAGUCUGUCUGAGAGGUGGGGAUGGAUCAUGCUCUGCAAUGGGGAAAGCCACUUCACUCACAAAUCUUAAAACUUACAGACUAGCUUGUUCUUUCUUCAAUGUUGGGGGCGG
rnacentral:lncRNA from 1 species